rnacentral:rRNA from 1 species
GAUGAACGCUGGCGGCGUGCCUAAUACAUGCAAGUCGAGCGAACGGACGAGAAGCUUGCUUCUCUGAUGUUAGCGGCGGACGGGUGAGUAACACGUGGAUAACCUACCUAUAAGACUGGGAUAACUUCGGGAAACCGGAGCUAAUACCGGAUGAUAUUUUGAACCGCAUGGUUCAAAAGUGAAAGACGGUCUUGCUGUCACUUAUAGAUGGAUCCGCGCUGCACUAGCUAGUUGGUAAGGUGACGGCUUACCAAGGCAACGAUGCAUAGCCGACCUGAGAGGGUGAUCGGCCACACUGGAACUGAGACACGGUCCAGACUCCUACGGGAGGCAGCAGUAGGGAAUCUUCCGCAAUGGGCGAAAGCCUGACGGAGCAACGCCGCGUGAGUGAUGAAGGUCUUCGGAUCGUAAAACUCUGUUAUUAGGGAAGAACAUAUGUGUAAGUAACUGUGCACAUCUUGACGGUACCUAAUCAGAAAGCCACGGCUAACUACGUG